GCUUCCUAUGAUGAUAAAUCCGCUCCCUCUUCUGAUUCAUUGUGAGGAAAAAAGCGUAACCGGAAUCGAAUUUAUUUCUGAGGAAGU
rnacentral:snoRNA from 1 species